rnacentral:rRNA from 1 species
GUGGGCCGCUUUUACUAAAUGAUUCUUUUUAGAUCUUUCUUUUUUGCUUCGGCAUUUUAGGAGAUCUUGUUACUUUGAGUAAAUUAGAGUGUUCAAAGCAAACAGAUUAUAGCAUCUUUAUGCGUUUGAAUACUACAGCAUGGAAUAACAAAAUUGAACAAGUGAAAAUUUUGUUCUUUUUUCUUAUUUUGGCUUAGUUACGAUUAAUAGGAGUAGCUUGGGGGCAUUUGUAUUCAGAUGUCAGAGGUGAAAUUCUUAGAUUUUCUGGAGACAAACAACUGCGAAAGCAUUUGCCUAAAAUACUUCCAUUAAUCAAGAACGAAAGUUAAGGGAGUGAAGACGAUCAGAUACCGUCGUAAUCUUAACCAUAAACUAUGCCGACUAGGCUUGGAGAAAGAUUUGAAAAAUAAAUUUCUUCCCCC